UGCAGUAUGCUGUUAUGGUAUCAGUCUAACAGCAGGUGUGGCAUAAACACAUACCUCCUGUCUGACUGAUUUAUUGUCUCAGAAUACCGUGCA
ensembl:miRNA gga-mir-1760 gga-mir-1760